GUCAGGUGUGGUGGUGCACUCCUGUAGUCCCAGCUACUCUGGAGGCUGAGGUAGGAGGAUUGCUUGAGCCUGGGAAGCUCAGGGCUGCAGUGAGCUGAGACUGUGCCACUACACUCCAGCCUGGGCUACAGAGCAAGACUCUGUCUCAA
ensembl:misc_RNA Metazoa_SRP Metazoan signal recognition particle RNA